rnacentral:ncRNA from 1 species
UAAGUGUCUUCGAGCCCUCUUUCCUAAAACGCAAGUCAUGGAGCUUGGGCCGGUUCCCUCGGGAACAAAGGGUUAUUUUGGAAACGAAAUGGCCUUCCGUGUUUGAAAAGGAGG